UACAGAGGUGGCAAGCGUUGUUCGGAUUCAUUGGGCGUAAAGGGUCCGUAGGCGGUUCGGAAAGUCGGAUGUGAAAUCCUACAGCUCAACUGUGGAACUGCAUUCGAAACUCCCGAACUAGAGUACGAGAGGGGUAAAGGGAAUUCCCGGUGUAAGGGUGGAAUCUGCAGAGAUCGGGAGGAACACCAGUCGCGAAGGCGCUUUACUGGCUCGUUACUGACGCUGAGGGACGAAAGCUAGGGUAGCAAACAGG
rnacentral:misc_RNA from 1 species